rnacentral:ncRNA from 2 species
AAGGAAAGUGCCACAGAAAAGAUACCGCCCCCACUGCUUUCUUGCUUCAUCCCCCCCUGCUUCGAUUUGCGAAGCAAAGCGGGGGGGAGAACAGCAAGAAGUGGGGGGUAAGGGUGCAAUGGCGAGGUAAGAGCUCACCGUCCGCCGGGUAACUGGCGGAGCAAGGUAAACCCCAUCCGGAGCAAGGCCAAGUAUGAGAGAUUCCCCGCAAUAUAUCUCUCGGGUAGGCUGCUUGAGGUGUCCAGCAAUGGGCAUCCCAGAGAAAUGACCAUCUACGACAAAACCCGGCUUAUCGCCUACUUCAAGAG